GACGAACGCUGGCGGCGUGCUUAACACAUGCAAGUCGAACGAUGAAGCCCAGCUUGCUGGGUGGCGUAGUGGUGAACGGGUGAGUAACACGCGAGCGACCUGCACCUGUCCCUGGGAGAAGCGCUGGAAACGGCGACUAUUACUGGAUAUGUGACGUCACGCCAUUGGGUGCGGGUGGGAAGGUUUUUCGGGUUGGGAUGGGCUCGCGGCCUAUCAGCUUGGUGGGGGGGUAAUGGCUCACCAAGGCGUCGACGGGGAGCCGGCCUGAGAGGGGGACCGGCCACACUGGGACUGAGACACGGCACAGACUCCUACGGGAGGCAGCAGUGGGGAAUAUUGUACAAUGGGCGGAAGCCUGAUGCAGCAACGCCGCGUGAGGGAUGACGGCCUUCGGGUUGUAAACCUCUUUUAGCUGGGACGAAGCGAUAGUGACGGUACCUGGAGAAAAAGCACCGGCUAACUACGUG
rnacentral:rRNA from 1 species